UACGAGGGGUCCAAGCGUUGUUCGGAAUCAUUGGGCGUAAAGCGGGUGUAGGUGGCUUUGUAAGUCAGGAGUGAAAGCCCUAGGCUCAACCUAGGAAGUGCUUUUGAUACUGCGAAGCUUGAAUGUGGGAGAGGAUCGUGGAAUUCCAGGUGUAGUGGUGAAAUACGUAGAUAUCAGGAGGAACACCAGUGGCGAAGGCGACUACCUGGCCUGUUUCUUGACGCUGAGGCGCGAAAAGCUAGGGGGAGCAAAACGGG
rnacentral:rRNA from 1 species